GGGAGACACACGGCGGGUGCUAACGUCCGUCGUGAAGAGGGAAACAACCCAGACCGCCAGCUAAGGUCCCAAAGUCAUGGUUAAGUGGGAAACGAUGUGGGAAGGCCCAGACAGCCAGGAUGUUGGCUUAGAAGCAGCCAUCAUUUAAAGAAAGCGUAAUAGCUCACUGGUCGAGUCGGCCUGCGCGGAAGAUGUAACGGGGCUAAACCAUGCACCGAAGCUGCGGCAGCGACACUAUGUGUUGUUGGGUAGGGGAGCGUUCUGUAAGCCUGUGAAGGUGGCCUGUGAGGGUUGCUGGAGGUAUCAGAAGUGCGAAUGCUGACAUAAGUAACGAUAAAGCGGGUGAAAAGCCCGCUCGCCGGAAGACCAAGGGUUCCUGUCCAACGUUAAUCGGGGCAGGGUGAGUCGACCCCUAAGGCGAGGCCGAAAGGCGUAGUCGAUGGGAAACAGGUUAAUAUUCCUGUACUUGGUGUUACUGCGAAGGGGGGACGGAGAAGGCUAUGU
rnacentral:rRNA from 1 species